rnacentral:rRNA from 1 species
UACGAAGGGGGCUAGCGUUGCUCGGAAUUACUGGGCGUAAAGCGCACGUAGGCGGCUCUUUAAGUCGGGGGUGAAAUCCUGGAGCUCAACUCCAGAACUGCCUUCGAUACUGUAGAGCUUGAGUUCGGGAGAGGUGAGUGGAACUGCGAGUGUAGAGGUGAAAUGCGUAGAUAUUGGGAGGAACACCAGUGGCGAAGGCGGCUCACUGGACCGGAACUGACGCUGAGGCGCGAAAGCGUGGGGAGCAAACAGG